rnacentral:rRNA from 1 species
UACGUAGGUGGCAAGCGUUGUCCGGAAUUAUUGGGCGUAAAGCGCGCGCAGGCGGUCCUUUAAGUCUGAUGUGAAAGCCCUCGGCUCAACCGAGGAGGGUCAUUGGAAACUGGAGGACUUGAGUGCAGAAGAGGAAAGUGGAAUUCCAAGUGUAGCGGUGAAAUGCGUAGAGAUUUGGAGGAACACCAGUGGCGAAGGCGACUUUCUGGACCAAUACUGACGCUGAGGAGCGAAAGCCAGGGGAGCAAACGGG